rnacentral:rRNA from 1 species
GAUGAACGCUGGCGGCGUGCCUAAUACAUGCAAGUCGAGCGAACGGACGAGAAGCUUGCUUCUCUGAUGUUAGCGGCGGACGGGUGAGUAACACGUGGAUAACCUACCUAUAAGACUGGGAUAACUUCGGGAAACCGGAGCUAAUACCGGAUAAUAUUUUGAACCGCAUGGUUCAAAAGUGAAAGACGGUCUUGCUGUCACUUAUAGAUGGAUCCGCGCUGCAUUAGCUAGUUGGUAAGGUAACGGCUUACCAAGGCAACGAUGCAUAGCCGACCUGAGAGGGUGAUCGGCCACACGGGAGCUGAGACACGGUCCAGACUCCUACGGGAGGCAGGAGUAGGGAACCUUCCGGAAGGGGCGAAAGCGUGAAGGAGCAACGGCGCGUGAGUGAUGAAGGUCUUCGGAUCGUAAAACACUGUUAUUAGGGAAGAACAUAUGUGUAAGUAACGGUGCACAUCUGGACGGUACCUAAUAAGAAAGCCACGGCUAACUACGU